AGAGUUUGAUCCUGGCUCAGAACAAACGCUGGCGGCGUGUCUUAAGCAUGCAAGUCGAGCGGCAAGGCGGGGCGACCCGCCCUAGAGCGGCGGACUGGUGAGUAACGCGUGGGUAAUCUACCUUGGGCAUGGGGAUAGCCAUUAGAAAUAGUGGGUAAUACCGAAUACGCUCGCGGGGGGAAGGGUCCUGUGAGGAAAGGGUGCUACGGCACCGGCCUGAGAUGAGCUCGCGUCCCAUUAGCUAGUUGGUGAGGUAAGGGCCCACCAAGGCGAUGAUGGGUAGCCGGCCUGAGAGGGUGUACGGCCACACUGGGACUGAGAUACGGCCCAGACUCCUACGGGAGGCAGCAGCUAAGAAUAUUCCGCAAUGGACGAAAGUCUGACGGAGCGACGCCGCGUGGAUGAAGAAGGCCGAAAGGUUGUAAAGUUCUUUUGCGAGGGAAGAAUAACCGCAGGAGGGAAUGCCUGUGGGAUGACAUGAACUUGCGAAUAAGCCCCGGCCAACUACGUGCCAGCAGCCGCGGUAACACGUAGGGGGCGAGCGUUGUUCGGAAUUACUGGGCGUAAAGGGCAUGUAGGCGGUCUGGUAAGCCUGGCGUGAAAGACCACAGCUUAACUGUGGGGUUGCGUUGGGAACUGCUGGGCUUGAGUGACGGAGAGGGAGCUGGAAUUCCUGGUGUAGGGGUGAAAUCUGUAGAUAUCAGGAAGAACACCGAUGGCGAAGGCAAGCUCCUGGCCGAUGACUGACGCUGAGGUGCGAAAGUGUGGGGAUCAAACAGGAUUAGAUACCCUGGUAGUCCACACGGUAAACGAUGUGCACUAGGUGCUGGGGCGGUAGCCUCGGUGCCGGAGCGAACGUGGUAAGUGCACCGCCUGGGGUGUAUGCUCGCAAGGGUGAAACUCAAUGAAUUGACGG
rnacentral:rRNA from 1 species